GGAUUGUUAGUCAAAUGCUAUCGCUUCUGCUUUCCAAGCAGGAGAUCGUGAGUUCAAUCCCAGACUAUCCU
rnacentral:tRNA from 1 species